rnacentral:rRNA from 1 species
AUACGUAGGGGGCAAGCGUUGUCCGGAAUUACUGGGCGUAAAGAGCUCGUAGGCGGCUCAGCAAGUCGGUCGUGAAAGCCCGAGGCUCAACCUCGGAACUGCGGUCGAUACUGCUGUGGCUAGAGUCCGGUAGAGGAGAGUGGAAUUCCCGGUGUAGCGGUGGAAUGCGCAGAUAUCGGGAGGAACACCAGUGGCGAAGGCGGCUCUCUGGGCCGGUACUGACGCUGAGGAGCGAAAGCAUGGGGAGCAAACAGGAUUAGAAACCCUAGUAGUCC